GAACCGAAGACAGGCAGUCUUAAGACAGGCACAUGUGUAACCGGAAGUCGGGCACGUGAAAGCCCAGCUCUGAACGCUUUGGCAUUUCAGCGCUCUCGGACUAGGAGAGCCAGCCUUCCAACCAAGUGCUACAUCUCCGGGGAGGAGAGCCAGCCUUCCAACCAAGUGCUACAUCUCCGGGGAGCCGCCUCAUCCCACUAGCAUUCCUAUGCUCUGUUCUGUGGGUGCGGUCAUCAAGGACGAGACGGCCAUUGCUCCCGCAUAAUGUGUAUUUAGUUGAGUAUCCCUCAAAACCUGGACUGGAUACCUUUUCUUGACAAACUGGCUGGAGUCCUGGUGUGAGGAGAUUCUUAGGAUUUUGUCCUGCGAGGUCUCUCUCCCCCACACUAUUUGGAGGCGGAGAAUGUUGGCUGCGGUGGGGAGAGCUACGGGAAUGGUUCCCACGGACUAGCUCUGCUAAGACUGACAUAUAUCCGUCUCUACAGGACUGGGAACCCACUUUUUGCUGUGGAGCGCUGUGGAGAGUUUCUCCGUGUGAGAGCAUUUACCCAGCAGAUGUCCCACUGCCUAAAACAUCUCCAGAGAAGGAGACAAGCGACUUAGAUCUGCAAGCUGUAGAUGGAGAAACGUUAAGGGCGCCCAGGGCUCCAUGGAAACCAGAGGGCAGAAGGAGAACACCCUGCGGUUUGUUACAUUGUAUUUUCUUCACUUUCGUUCAUCAGAGUUGCUGAAUGGAGGCUUACCCUCAAAGGGCAAUGGGGAUUCCUGGGCUUUCUGAACCAUCCAUACUUACAUUUCUGUUUCCUGCUAUGCUCUCCCCAGAUUCAGAAGAAGGCAUUGCUGGAAGUGCUUCAGAGUACAGUCAUUCAGUAGGAAGAGACCUUCACAGAGCAGGGCUUCCAAGUGUGGUCUUGCGUCAACGGCCUCAGCGAGAGAUCUUGCUAGAAAUGAAGGUUCACAGGAUCUGCCCGAGAAACACUGAAUCAGAAACUGUGGAGGUGAAGGUGAGGAGUCAGCUUGAACAAAAGAAAAGGACACUGGACUAGACACAUGGAAGGUGACUGGACUAGACACAUGGAAGGUGGAGUCCAGCAUUUCUGUUGUCUUCUCCUCGCACGCGGUACCUGGAGCAAACCCUGACCUCUGAGUCUUGUUUCUUAUGCGUUUCCUGCGUCUGCAAUGGAAGGCGAUUGCACUCACUGUUUCUGCCUUGCAGAGCUGUUUGUGGGAUGGCAUGAGACUGUAAAUUCAGCUUUAUGCUGUUGGUCGGCGUGACACUCUUCUUGUGAUUACUCCAUAGGUCCCGGAUUAGCAGAAGUGAUUACGUGGAUUUCCCAGUUUGUUGUAAGACAACAUUAUUAUAACUUAACCUGGCUCUUUGGAAAAUUGGAUUCCACCUAAUUCAACAGUUCCAGGAAAGGGCCUCCGUGAGUCCAAAUGACAUUAGUUCCCUCUGGGUGAUACUCUGUGCUGUGGAGAAGGGACGCAGAAGAUGCCAGUGACAUGUUGGAGUGCAGAGGACACCUCCAUGGAGAUUCCAUCGUCUUGCGUCAUGUCACGAGGACCUGGGCAGAAACCCAUGGACAACAGUAACAGAAGGAGGCGCAUUGGUCUUUGAAAAGACGUUCUCCCAAGGGAGGAAGAAUGUGUGAACAAAGGGAAAGUCUAGCGGCUCAGAAGCAAGACCGCAAGGAGCUUUUGUGUCGUUUGCAUGGCACAGGCUUCCUCCUGCAUCCUGCACACAAUAUCUCAUGCACAGCAUAUCUCAUUGGCAUCUCAACCUCUGCCCAGAAUUACGUUUUUGUACUGUAGUGAGUCCCAGGUGACCUUCAGGAAUACGGUACCAGCGACUUCAUCCCUGAAGAACCUCUGUCUGUACGAGUGACUUGGGACAGUUCUAACGGCCCAUGCAAGGGAGUUUCUGGCCUUCGUCUCUGUGGACGGGCUUAUUUCAUAUACUGGUCGUUCAGUACUGGUGUAAGGCCUCCAGGCCCUCGCUGCCCACCUUAGUCUCCCGCCCCAUCAAAGGCAGGGUCGAGGGGAACAUGGGAGGUAGUAGCCUCCUCCCAGAAUGGCUGCGCUUGGUUUUAUCUUAGGGAUAAGCCCAGCUUUGCUGGGAAGUCCUGGUUUUUAACAACCCAUCCCCUUCAGCUUCUCUCAAACACUUAGCCAUGGCCUGUCCAUGGACAGACAUUCACGGCGCAACUCUCCAGGCUUUGUGGAUGACGGUGAGUGGAUGCAGACACGACUUAAUAGGGAUCGCGGAAACCAUGCUGCCCCUUGCUGCCUUGGCUCUCUCUUCCUUAGAUGCUUUGCCUUUGUGGGGCAGGAUCUACUCUGACCCCUUUUGUUGUCCCUCUCUCCCAGAAAGCCUCUGGAAGUUUCUACUUCCCCAUUGCGUGUAAGUUCGGCAGUCUUCACGCAUUGAUAUGUCUCUAUUAGAGCCUUUCAUGCAAGAUUGUGUAUGAGUGUCUUCAACAAUCGAAUCUCAGAGUGGCGGUCACUGACGUGGAACAUGGCUCUGAGUCAGCAGCCUCCUCUUUCCCCAGGAAAUCCUCACGUAGGUAAUUGCAUCGCUCUUGUUUCAACCGGUAAGAUGCCCACAAAUCAGCUUAAUCUCCUUGGCUAUCAGAAAAAGAAAGAAGCGACGUUUUCACUUUUUGAUGACCUAGAACCCUUUGCACUGGAGAGAAGGAAAAAAUCCCCAGCAGGACAGAGGGACAGGGUUUAAUUUUCAGAAGCCGAAACUUCUUUAAAGUUCCAAACCAUUUAAACAUUUACCGAGUUGGUUAUUUGGCAUCAUGCCACACGAGCUCGCCGAUAAUUGGUUUCACCUUUAAAUCACUUGACCAGGCUGCCCUGAUGUCUUGGCGUCUCGCCAGACAGGCUCAGCAUGUAAUGCUUGCUUUCUUUGGGCCUCCCAAUGUGUCAACUGAGUCACAGGUGCAAAUGAUCUGCAAGAAAAGUCCUUGUCUUUCCUGUGAAUUAAUAAACUGUGCGCUUCUCAUCCCUGGAUAUUUGGAACACCUUCGUUUUUUGAAAUCCAAUAAGGACAUUCUUCAUGGAGAUAAUUAAAAGCCUGUGCCCUCAGCCAACAAAGCAGGUUAUAAUCAAAAAGUUGAGGGUAGAGGUUUGUCUUCAAAAUUGAUGAAUCAGGCACAAAACCCGGAUGUAGACACGCAAGAUCAAAGUGGAAAUUGCCUCUGCUAGUCCCUUGAAGAGCAAAUUGUUUUAUUGACUUUUCCUCCACGUUGGCCUUGUUCUGCCUUGUAGGGCUUUUUCCUUCUUUGCAUUUGCAGAAAAAUAGAAUCCAGUGGCUUCUGAGGAGGGAAACAGAGACUUUGGCUAGCACCGUCUGUCUUGCUGGGGGCAGAACCAACUUUGAUGUCGCACUGUUUAAUUACAGCAGAGCCUUCCACCACCUCCAAAGAAAAAGCCCGCUACGGCCUUUCCUUUCAGAAGGCCACAGAGAGUGUGGGCGGGCGAACGUCGAAGUGUUGACCCUCCUGUAAACGGAACCCUAAGAUGUUUAUGGUCAGAAGGAAAGGCUUGGGUAACCUUUGACCCUUCUCAGACUACCCCACCUGGGACUGGCAGAGAUGCAGCUACUCUCUUUCUUGAGAAUUUCUAGACUACACACCAGGCAAGGACAAGCCCGCUUUCAACACCUAAUCAGUUAGAAGAAAGCAGGCAGCCUCGUGAAGUUCUGUGAGAUGAAGGGGUCUCAAAGUCAAAGGAAUCGGCUUCUUUUCACUCGGAAGGCAUCCUUCCCUGCCGCUGCCCAGGGUGUCUCCCAUUUGCUCGAGUGAAGCAGACACAUGCAACCGCAAGUAAGCAUGUGUGGAUUUUAAAGCAAGGGGCGAAAUAUAAUCAAACAAGACUAAAUUCAUUGAACCGAAUCCAGCUUAUCUGGAAUUCAGAAGUUAAUCACUUGAUGGCGGCAUGGCUGAUUUGUUGGACUGGCUGAUGUAGAGGCAGGCACACAUGAAGUUGGCUCUUGGCUUUUGAGGUAAAAGAGCCUGAAGCACCUCCCCUGAAUUCUAAAGAGAGCGGAGACUGAAUCUUCAGGAAUGGAAAUGCUGAGGAAACAUCUUAGUGUGCACCCUGCUCGGCUGACUCCCAGUCACACCUUCCGGGAAAGCGUGGUGACACUCCCUUUGCCACCAUGGAAGACCCCUGAGUCACCAGGUUUUCCGGUGCAGUACUCAGCGGUGUGGUUCCUGGGUCUGCAGUAUCAUUAUCAUCAGGACUUGUAAGACGUGCAGAGUCUCUCAUGCCAUCCAAGCCCCUCUGAAUGAAGAUUGCCCUGAACAACGGACUCAUUUGCACGGGAGGCGGUACUGAGACAGUCCCACAAGCCUGACCCCGAAGCAGCAGUGUGCAGCUGAGUUAGACACACAGCAGGAUCCCCAGUGAUGCACACGCUUGGACUUCACCGACCUACUCAGGGUCCCUCACAUCUGAUGCCUGAGGUGUCUCGUAAGGCAUUAUGGAGUCUGGAAGAGACUGUCCUGCUGAGAUCCUCUUAUUAGACUUGACAAAUACACCUUCUAGUCUUGACUCCUAUGUUAAAUGGAAGAAAUCUCAGAUACCACUGCUUGAAAUGGACUCCUGAAUUAGUGACUUGGCACUCCGAUUCCUGGAACCCACACAAAGGUAGAGAGAGACAGCCUAUUCACUAAAGCAGUCCUCUUACCUUCACAUUAAACACAUGCUUGCUCACGGGCUCACACACACACACACACAUACACACACACGCACGCACAUACACACAUGCACACACACAUGCACAUACACAUGCACAUACACACACACGCACAUAUACACACACAUACACACACACACACACAAAUAACUAAAGUAAUUACAAAGCAAGUGAAUUUUGGAUAACUAUAUUUAACUCUCCCAAGCCCCUCUCUCUAAGCAUGAACUGGGACAACACUGAACUUCAUCCUUUGCUCUUUGGAACCCUUAGUAGGAAAGGAAGAGAGGAGAGAGGGGCACAGAGAGGAGCAGCGCAAGCAGGCUCUCUCCUGGUGCUCAGAUGCUUCCGUUGUUCCUUUCUGCUGGCCCUGCCUAGGCUCUGGGCCUACAGGGAAACUACGAGGUGAGCACCUAGUUUCAUACAAAAGGCCUCACGGCUCACCCAGGAUGAGCGGCUGUUUCAGAGCCACAGUCCUCAGCAGUGCCCUCAGGAGUGCUGGGGGAGUCGAAAGAGGGCCAGAGAGAGGAGGAGAUAAAAGAACCCAGAACCUAUCCAAAAUAUGUGACUCAGAAUGAGAGAAACAAGGCGAAUUCCCAGAAGGCA